GAACUUAAGCAUAUCAAUAAGCGGAGGAAAAGAAACUAACAAGGAUUCCCUCAGUAACUGCGAGUGAAGUGGGAAAAGCUCAAAUUUGAAAUCUGGCAGCUCUUUCAGGUUGUCCGAGUUGUAAUCUAGAGAAGCGUUACCUGUGUUGGACCGUGUAAAAGUCUUCUGGAAUGGAGCAUCAUAGAGGGUGAGAAUCCCGUCUUUGACAUGGACUACCAGCAUGCCAAGGUGCACUCUCAAAGAGUCGAGUUGUUUGGGAAUGCAGCUCAAAAUGGGUGGUAAAUGCCAUCUAAAGCUAAAUAUUGGCGAGAGACCGAUAGCGAACAAGUACCGUGAGGGAAAGAUGAAAAGAACUUUGGAAAGAGAGUUAAACAGUACGUGAAAUUGCUGAAAGGGAAACGCUUAAAGUCAGUCGCAUUAGCUGGAAAUCAGGCUUGCUUUUGCAAGGUGCACUUUCUAGUUGAUGGGUCAGCAUCAAUUUUAAUCGUUGGAUAAAGUCAUUGGGAAUGUAGCAUCUUUGGAUGUGUUAUAGCCCAGUGUUGAAUACAGCGGUCAGGAUUGAGGAAUUCAGCAUGCCUCUAGGGGCCAGGUUUCGACCAUGUUCAUGCUUAGGACGCUGGCAUAAUGGCUUUAAUCGACCCGUCUUGAAACACGGACCAAGGAGUCUAACAUGCCUGCGAGUGUUUGGGUGAAAAACCCAUACGCACGAUGAAAGUGAAAGUUGAGAUCCUUAGGGAGCAUUGACGCCCGGACCAGACCUUCUGUGACGGAUCCGCGGUAGAGCAUGUAUGUUGGGACCCGAAA
rnacentral:rRNA from 1 species